AACGAACGCUGGCGGCAGGCUUAACACAUGCAAGUCGAGCGCCCCGCAAGGGGAGCGGCAGACGGGUGAGUAACGCGUGGGAACGUACCCUUUGCUACGGAAUAGCUCCGGGAAACUGGAAUUAAUACCGUAUGUGCCCUACGGGGGAAAGAUUUAUCGGCAAAGGAUCGGCCCGCGUUGGAGUAGCUAGUUGGUGGGGUAAUGGCCUACCAAGGCGACGAUCCAUAGCUGGUCUGAGAGGAUGAUCAGCCACAUUGGGACUGAGACACGGCCCAAACUCCUACUGGAGGCAGCAGUGGGGAAUAUUGGACAAUGGGCGCAAGCCUGAUCCAGCCAUGCCGCGUGAGUGAUGAAGGCCUUAGGGUUGUAAAGCUCUUUCACCGGAGAAGAUAAUGACGGUAUCCGGAGAAGAAGCCCCGGCUAACUUCGUGCCAGCCGCCGCAGUAACAC
rnacentral:rRNA from 1 species